rnacentral:rRNA from 1 species
GACGAACGCUGGCGGCGUGCUUAACACAUGCAAGUCGAACGGAAAGGCCCUGCUUUUGUGGGGUGCUCGAGUGGCGAACGGGUGAGUAACACGUGAGUAACCUGCCCUUUACUUUGGGAUAACUUCAGGAAACUGGGGCUAAUACCGGAUAGGAGCUCCUGCUGCAUGGUGGGGGUUGGUAAGUUUCGGCGGUUGGGGAUGGACUCGCGGCUUAUCAGCUUGUUGGUGGGGUAGUGGCUUACCAAGGCUUUGACGGGUAGCCGGCCUGAGAGGGUGACCGGCCACAUUGGGACUGAGAUACGGACCAGACUCCAACGGGAGGCAGCAGUGGGGAAUAUUGCACAAUGGGCGGAAGCCUGAUGCAGCAACGCCGCGUGCGGGAUGACGGCCUUCGGGUUGUAAACCGCUUUCGCCUGUGACGAAGCGUGAGUGACGGUAAUGGGUAAAGAAGCACCGGCUAACUACGUG